GUGGGGAAUAUUGGACAAUGGGCGAAAGCCUGAUCCAGCCAUGCCGCGUGAGUGAUGAAGGCCUUAGGGUUGUAAAGCUCUUUCAGUAGGGAAGAUAAUGACGGUACCUACAGAAGAAGCCCCGGCUAACUUCGUGCCAGCAGCCGCGGUAAUACGAAGGGGGCUAGCGUUGUUCGGAUUUACUGGGCGUAAAGCGCACGUAGGCGGAUUGGUCAGUUAGAGGUGAAAUCCUGGAGCUCAACUCCAGAACUGCCUUUAAUACUGCCAGUCUAGAGUCCAGAAGAGGUGAGUGGAACUCCUAGUGUAGAGGUGGAAUUCGUAGAUAUUAGGAAGAACACCAGUGGCGAAGGCGGCUCACUGGUCCAUUACUGACGCUGAGGUGCGAAAGCGUGGGGAGCAAACAGGAUUAGAAACCCGGGUAGUCC
rnacentral:rRNA from 1 species